UUUCAUGUGUGCAGAGUGAAUGAUCAGCAAUCAAGAGCAUGCAACAGAAGUGCGCUUCUCUCUCUGUUUACCGUCAGUUAACGUUAGUAAUUCAACGUGUGCCUUGUUUUACUUUAUUUGCUAUCAACAUAUCCGACCGAUGUACAAACUUUCCAGCAAUGUCUGCGCGCUCAAUCCACUCCACGUUUGCUUAUCAGCUCGCGCACAGCACCAGCUAUAUAGACAUGAAUGUUUCAUUUGUUUAAUAUUCGAUACGUUUACUUCAUAGAGAUCCUUCUCUGAUAUAUUCUGUUCUCUGUUUGCUAUGUUGUCGGUUUUUCUUUGUCACAAGCACUGAACUGUGCAUUGGAGCAUUUUAAUGCGUAUGAGUACAGGACAUAGACUGUAAAAAAGAUGGCCGACGCUCCUUCACUCUCUUCAGUGUCCCAAUACGGCACUGACGUCUUGCGCUGAUGCGAGACCCGAGUCUGCGCAGUAGUGACUAGUGAGCGUGAGUCAAUCGCAAGCACGCGGUCCUGAACCUUUUUCAAGUCGCCUGACUGCUAAACAGUUAUGGAAAAUGUAGAAAUAAAAGUUCCAAUCUCUGUUAGCGCUUCAGUGAAUACUUCGCUCAGAGAAGCUGUCAAUCAUAAUGUAACACCCCCAUUUUUAUAGCAUCAAAUAACUAAAUAAAACCACAUUUAUUUAUGAAACGAACACUUGAACUUACCUCAGCAUGAUAAAAGCUACAUUAAAUGAGAGUAACCAUCUUUGGAAAAAAAUAUUUGUAGUGUAAUUUAAUUGUUUAGUUUGUCUCACGUCCCAUUACAUUACAUAGAGAGGGUGGGGUUUAUGAGCUAUACUGGGACCCGCCACCGGUAUCAGUGCAUCCCUCAUUUCUGUUAGCAUGAUUUUUCACAACAUGUCAAUGUUACAAAUAAUGUAGUUAGAUGUCAUGACGUAUUUAUGUAAAACAGUAUAUGUGCUUGUAUAUGAUUUUGUUGUUGCUGUUGUUUCUAUUAUUGCAGGACUGUGCCCAUCUUUCUCCUUCACUGUGCGCAUCCCUGCACUCUCUGCCAGCUCCACUUUUCAGCCUUGGAAACACAAGUUGAACCAUGAUAACCAAAUCCCUAAAAAGAUUCAAGAAGAGAUUUCUGUCAUUCAUUAAAGAAGGAUGGCUGUGACUGCAAGCUGCCGCUACCCUCGAUGUCUGAAGCUGUAACAGAUCGUCUGCUGUUCACUGACAGACGUACUGCAUUAAAGAAAGAAUCGCCCGUGAUCGACUACAAUGUUGUCAUGUUUUGGAGACUCCCAUUUUGUGGUAAUGGGACUGUGUAGAGCACGUGUGCAAAUACUGAAAGCAGAUCUUGACCAGGAACAAGAUCUGCGAUGUUUGCACAGAACGUCUACACAGAGUAUUACUGUAAAGUGUGAGAGAUGCCAAAACAUGCCUCUUACGUUUGGAAGAAGCUGAGAUCGCAGCAGAUCGUGGAUCGAGAAGAUGCGUCCCACCUGGAUAACACCUGGACAAAUGUGAGUUUCUCCCAAAAAUAUCUCCGUAAAGUGACAAAGACACUUUUUGUGGAACCAAAUGGCUCCAGGAACGAUGGAAGAAAGGUGACCCUAAGUACACUUAAUAUAAAUGACUGGCGUCAGAAACACACAAAGCAUCAUAUUCAGUGGUAUUAUCAUACGUAUAUAACACUUGUGCUUUUUUCUGAUUAGAGAGGCACGGCUGCUUUUAAUAUACACCACAUAUGGUUUUAAUAAAUGAUACUUUCCUGUAUAUUCACUCAAAUGCUGUUCAGUCAGAUGUGUGAAGCGGUUCAAUCACUGAAUAAUAGAAAGAAGAAGCAGCUCAAACUAGAGAGCAAGACUAGGAUCAGUCACUGUUGAUGGUGAGGAAAAUGCUGGAGUAACAGGCCACUGGACAAGACAGAGUUGCACACAUCUCAUCAGCACAGCUUGCAGGUGACUUCUGGACUUAUUCACUGGCAGAUUCUGCAGGAUUUGAAAGCAUUCAAUCGUCAGAAAGUUUCCUGGUGUCCGUUUAGUGACACUGUCCAGCAACACUUCUUCAGCUGAAGGACUGCAGAGAAUUAUUGUGAAUCACUGACGUCGCAGUCUGAUAUUGCUCAGAUUGUGUGAAUAGUGCUGGAGACGUUCAGAAAAGCCUUUCCUGGAGUCGCAUGUUCACUGAUACAAGACAUUUAUUCCAUGCAGCACGGACGAGAAA